GAGAUCGCGACCGUGGAGCCGCAGCGGUGGCGCUAGAGACAGACACGCCUCCUGGCGCGGGUUCCUCGCCUCCCGCUUUAAAGGAGCCGUGCUUCUUUCAGGCAGCUGGUCCUAGCUCCAGGGCUCCCAGGCCCACCGCCGAGCCGCGCACACUCCUUAUUUCAAGAUCUCCUGUGAGAGAAUUCCGGGCGCUGACCAUCUAGUGCUUCCCAAACACCCCACCGUGAUUUCGUCCCCUGCCAGCAUACCCACAUCCAGGGAUAUAGGGCAGCCGGGGCCCAGAUGCUCUGAAUGAUAGUGGGUCCUCACCUCCAGUUAAAAUAUGCCUCAGUUCUACUUGAGACUAAAGUAGCUAUCUAAUGGAAUUCUUUCAUCUUCCAUGAAUGUUAUUUUCUGGACUGAGAAGAAAAGCUCAAGAUAUAUGGAGAGAACAUCUGGAAUAGGCAAACAUAAUAGUCUGGGGGAUUUUUAUAAAGCCGGACCCGACACAGAGCAAAAGAUCACCCAGUUUGUAAACUGCUUCCAUUCAUGGCAUUCCAUGUGGAAGGAUGCCUUCAAGAUGCUGUUACAUCCUUAUAGCAGGAAGGAAAUUUAAGAGCACAAAGACCACAUUCCCAAGAGGUGGAGUGGGGGGUUUUUGAUCAUUCAGUAGGUGAUGGAUAUUGGUCACUGUUUAGGGGGAUUGGUUUCAAAUUGUUAUUGAUAAUGAUCAGGAAAGAAGUUAAAGAAAGGGGAUUAGAUUCAGGGGUCUUGUUUUGAAGAGAAAAAAGAGUGAUACAGAUAUGAUAAGAUAAAAGGUAGAUUAUUGAAUCUACUUUGAAAAGAGAAAAGGGGGAUAUAAAUAUGAUAAGAUAAUAAGGUAGAUUAUUGAAUCUACUCCUUAAGAGCAACUACUAGUUUUAAGUAUUUUACAUUGAUUGAACUUUUGUAUAUUGUAUACAAAUUUUAUAUAUU
rnacentral:lncRNA from 1 species